rnacentral:rRNA from 1 species
UACGUAGGGGCCUAGCGUUGUCCGGAUUUAUUGGGCGUAAAGAGCUCGUAGGCGGCUCAUCGCGUCUGCCGUGAAAACCCGCAGCUCAACUGCGGGCUUGCGGUUGAUACGGGUGGGCUGGAGUUCGGUAGGGGAGACUGGAAUUCCUGGUGUAGCGGUGAAAUGCGCAGAUAUCAGGAGGAACACCGGUGGCGAAGGCGGGUCUCUGGGCCGAUACUGACGCUGAGGAGCGAAAGCGUGGGGAGCGAACAGG